CAGCAAACUGUGAAAGAGUUUACAGUUCCACCUGACCAAGAGGCGAGCUUCACCACAAAAGGUCCCUCCCAAGAACUCCCUUUUGGUUCCUCUCGAGUCCAGCUGCGCAGUUACAGCCAUUCAUCAUCACUGACCGAAUCUCACUGAUUGUUAUGACACAUCCUCAUCUUGUUACUGCUCUAAAACCAAAGCACAGAUUAAAGUUUCACAUCAGAAAUUCUAGCCUCAUUUCACUCCAUACACUGUUAUGACGGACAAGAAGCACUUCAAGGAGCACUUUCAGGAUUUCUUUACUGUGAGUGACUGAGAUCCAAAGAUGUGGAGUUUUCCCCCUCGC